AUUGAACGCUGGCGGCAGGCCUAACACAUGCAAGUCGAACGAGUGGCGGACGGGUGAGUAAUGUCUGGGAAACUGCCUGCUUGAGGGGGAUAACUACUGGAACCGGUAGCUAAUCCCGCAUACCAUCGGAUGUGCCCAGAUGGGCUUAGCUAGUAGGUGGGGUAAAGGCUCACCUAGGCGCCGAUCCCUAGCUGGUCUGAGAGGAUGACCGGCCACACGGGAACUGAGACACGGUCCAGACUCCUAGGUGAGGCAGCAGUGGGGAAGAUGGCGCAAUGGGCGAAAGCCUGAUGCAGCCAUGCCGCGUGUAUGAAGAAGGCCUGCGGGUUGUAAAGUACUUUCAGCGGGGAGGCGUUACCCGCAGAAGAAGCACCGGCUAACUCCGUGCCAGCAGCCGCGGUAAUUC
rnacentral:rRNA from 1 species